rnacentral:rRNA from 1 species
AUUGAACGCUGGCGGCAUGCCUAACACAUGCAAGUCGAACGGGGCAGCAAUGCCUAGUGGCGGACGGGUGAGGAAUACGUAGGAAUCUGCCCUUAAGUGGGGGAUAACCAGGGGAAACCCUGACUAAUACCGCAUGAUCUCUUCGGAGCAAAGAGGGGGACCGCAAGGCCUCUCGCUUCUGGAUGAGCCUACGUCUGAUUAGCUAGUUGGUAGGGUAAAGGCCUACCAAGGCGACGAUCGGUAACUGGUCUGAGAGGAUGAUCAGUCACACCGGAACUGAGACACGGUCCGGACUCCUACGGGAGGCAGCAGUGGGGAAUAUUGGACAAUGGGCGCGAGCCUGAUCCAGCAAUGCCGCGUGUGUGAAGAAGGCCUUCGGGUUGUAAAGCACUUUAGCCUGGAAAGAAAAAACUUUGGUUAACACCCAAAGUCUUGACGGUACCAGGAGAAUAAGCACCGGCUAACUCUGUGCCAGCAGCCGCAGUAAGAC